UUCUGGUCUAGGUCUACUACCCUCACUGGAUUAAACAAAACUGCCCAAACCAAAACAAGCUAGAUCCUGGGACAGGAGGGAAGCAGUCUCAGCAGAUGAGGCCUCUUCAGACUUUUACUCUCAUGGAAAAAAAAAAAAUGGCCAAAUCGAGUUGCUCAAAUAAAAAUCCAGAAUAGGGUCCUGGCUGACAUCCUCAGGAAGCGCAAAGGGGGAAAAAGAGACAAAAAUAUUUAACAGAUGAAAAUCCUGAAAAUUCACAAAGAAGGUGGGGAAAACAUACAUUCACACUAACAGGUGCACACACAGAAUCCAAGUGCUCCUGCCAAGUCUGGGAGAACAGCAGCGAGGUGUAAGCAAAAGCAGCGGUGGUGGGGGUGGGGGGCAGGGAGUGGGCGGACUCAGUACAGAGUGAACAGUAAGGGCGGCCACCCUGCGGAUGAUAAAUUACUCAUUAUGGGAUUUUAACAAAGGACAGGACACUGGAGGCUCCAGUUGACGCUGUUUGCAGCAAUUCUGCUGCUAGACCUUUAGGUAUAAAGGGUCUCAAAAAUGCUCUUAUAAAAGACAAGCAAUAUCAAAGAGGACUGAUGCCCCCAAGGAAAGAUAAGCUCAGGGAAAAACGAAAGCAAGGCUUUGUUACUACAUAUCAAACAAUAGCUCUUAAGCUUGGUCUGCCCCGAAGACUGUCUUCCGAUCACAUUUCAGAGAUAGUCCAUUCUCUCUCCUAAGGCCUCUCUUGCUAAUGGCUUGGUUUGGUUUUGCUUUUAAUUCUAGCCAGCCUGCUUUUAGACUUUCUCACCUUAACCACUAGGCCCUUCCCCUUCAGAAUGUCAGGGCUUUCUGAAGUCUAGCCAGACCUCAUUGUCCCUGUGAUCUCAAAGGUCUUCUCCUUCACCUCCUACAAACAAAAUUUACUUUGCCAAAACACAAGGCAUUAUGGGAGGCACUGUGGGGGAUACAAAAAUUAUAGGACAGAGUUAUCUUAUCACCAGGAGCUCACAAGAAGAACCCAGGAAGCCUGGACAAAGGUACUUCUUACUGCAGUAGGGUGCUAUUCAGUCAGGCACUGAUGGAUCAGGGAGAACGUGACUCCAGGAUGCAGCAGUUGCGGAAGGAAGAGAAACAGUCAUGGGGAAGAUCUUAGGAAAUUCAACUUUGGCUGGAACCAUCAACUUUGCUACAUCGGCCAAUCCAACCAGCUGGGAAUUCUAGUAAUUUUGCUCACUGCCCCCAGACGACUCUAUCCCCUUAUGAAGGAGACAUAUUUGUAACCCACUGAACAGAAAACUGGCCUUUAAAAUAAUGUCAUCCUGCUGUCUCCUUUCUGUGGCUACGGUGCUAAUGUGGUAUUUCAAUUUCUUCCCUCAAUAUCCUCUUCAUUUUAACAAAGAAUAUUUCUUCUCGAGGCCAGGCACAGUGGCUCACGCCUGUAAUCCCAGCACUUUGGGAGGCCAAGGCAGGUGGAUCACCUGAGGUCAGGAGUUUGAGACCAGCCUGGCCAACAUGGUGAAACCCCGUCUCUACUAAAAAUACAAAAAUUAGCUGGGCGUGGUGGUGUGCACAUGUAAUCCCAGCUACCUGGGGAGGCUGAGGCAGGAGAAUCGCUUGAAACCAGGAGGUGGAGGUUGCAGUGAGCCAAGAUCGGACCACUGCACUCCAGCCUGGGCGACAGAGCGAGACUCCAUCUCAAAAAAAAAAAUUAAUAAUAAUAUUUCUUCUCUUUGCAUCAUACCUCAGUUUGGUAUCACUCUAACCCACAGAGCUUCAUUUUACUUCAUAGCUUUUAGCAAUACAGAACGAUUUCUUUAUAGUCCAUGGCUUCCACUAGGAUGUCAGCUCCGUGAAAAUGGGAACUUAUCACUACUGUAUCUCCAGUACCUAAAACAGUGUCUGGCGCUUGAUAGGCACUGAAUAAGUUCGUGUUGACUGACCGAAUGAAUAAAC
rnacentral:lncRNA from 1 species